rnacentral:rRNA from 1 species
GUGCCAGCCGCCGCGGUAAAACGUAGGAUCCGAGCGUUAUCCGAAUUCACUGGGCGUAAAGCGCGUGCAGGCGGUUCGAUAAGUUGGAUGUGAAAUCUCCCGGCUCAACUGGGAGAGGUCGUUCAAGACUGUCGGACUAGAGGACGGUAGAGGAAGGUGGAAUUCCCGGUGUAGUGGUGAAAUGCGUAGAUAUCGGGAGGAACACCUGUGGCGAAAGCGGCCUUCUGGGCCGUUCCUGACGCUCAGACGCGAAAGCUAGGGGAGCAAACGGGAUUAGAAACCCGUGUAGUCC